AGCCCUCUGUAUCCAUGCUGAGAUUUCGUCAGAGAUUAACCCGCUGAGGCUGAUGGUACUUCCCAAAUAAGUGAAGCG
rfam:Trichobilharzia regenti genome assembly, scaffold: TRE_scaffold0023771